UACGGAGGGUGCAAGCGUUGUCCGGAUUUAUUGGGUUUAAAGGGUGCGUAGGCGGCCAUUUAAGUCUGGGGUGAAAGCCCGUUGCUCAACAACGGAACUGCCCUGGAAACUGGAUGGCUGAGUACAGACGAGGGUGGCGGAAUGGAUGCUGUAGCGGUGAAAUGCAUAGAUAGCAUCCAGAACCCCCGAUUGCGAAGCAGCUGCCUAGACUGUAACUGAACGCUGAGGCAGCGAAAAGCGUGGGGAGCGAACAGG
rnacentral:rRNA from 1 species